GAUCAUGGCUCAGGAUGAACGCUAGCUACAGGCUUAACACAUGCAAGUCGAGGGGCAGCAUGAUUGAAGCUUGCUUCAAUUGAUGGCGACCGGCGCACGGGUGAGUAACACGUAUCCAACCUGCCGAUAACUCGGGGAUAGCCUUUCGAAAAGAAAGAUUAACUACCCGAUAGCAUAGUUAUUUCCGCAUGGUUUCACUAUUAAAGAACUUCGGUUAUCGAGUGGGGAUGCGUUCCAUUAG
rnacentral:rRNA from 1 species